CCACAUUCUUGCAACUCAGGCUGUCUCCUGGUCUUCGAAAGGUCCUUUUUGGCACGGCUCUUGGUACGGUCGCCCUAGCCCUGGCUGCACACCAGCUAAAACGGCACAAGCACAAGAAGAAGCAGAUUACAGCAGGCAAUGGAGGCCUAAAGCUCGGCGGGGUGCCUGGCUCUGUUUUGCCCGUUAGGCGUUCUUCCUCAGCUAAAAAAGUCCACAUUCUUGCAACUCAGGCUGUCUCCUGGUCUUCGAAAGGUCCUUUUUGGCACGGCUCUUCGUACGGUCGCCCUAGCCCUGGCUGCACACCAGCUAAAACGGCACAAGCACAAGAAGAAGCAGAUUACAGCAGGCAAUGGAGGCCUAAAGCUCGGCGGGGUGCCUGGCUCUGUUUUGCCCGUUAGGCGUUCUUCCUCAGCUAAAAAAGCUUUUUGAUGGAUGUAUAUACAGCCUUCAUGCCAUGAUGG